CAUAGUGUUCUUCUAUUUCUGUGUGUUGAUUUAUCACAUGUUGUGCAUUGCUUAUCAUGAAAUAUGCUAUGAUCAUGGGAGCAAGAGAAUAUAAGCUAUGAGAAAGAUCUCAGGCAGUUUACUCUAUUCUUUUUGUGUUCUGAAAAAAGAGAAUGUGAACUGGAAAAUAUCAGUCACUUGCGAGCCCCCACAUCAGUUCCUCGUUUACUAUUUCUACUCAGGUGUAUCAAUUUCACGAUGUAUCAAUUUCAAACAGAGCUUUGUGCCUUCUAUGCUGACACAAUGCCAAAUAUUUUUUUUCAACAAAAGACAAAAGGACUGUAGACAUGUAGAAUCUGGUAGAAAUAGGUUUCCCACUAAAGUGUUUUUUUUGCCAUGAGAAUUAUUUUCAGAAGUUUUACAGUUAUUGGCUUCUGAAUUUGUACUAAUACAUUAAAGGGAACAAUAAUAAAUAGUUUUUAUGAGAAUCUAUACUUAGCUACAAAAAUUCCAGAUGGCAAAGAGGCAUCAAAUGCCCACUUCCAAGAAGAAUGCUAUUUACAGAGCUGAACUAUAUACAUUUAAAAAAUAAACCAUUGCUACUGUCCUGUAAUCAGGAGACUUGAUAAUAACCUUCAUGUUUAUUCUCUGCUGUUCACCUAUCUCUUUGGGGCUGUUUUCUAACAAUAAGUCUACACCUUUAAUUGCUUUGUCACACAUGCAGUACUGAAUAUUUUGUUUAGUUCUUUUAAUUAAAUGCUUAUAUAUGUGCCUGGAAGAGAAUCAUUGAGUUGCUGCACUUUGAACCAUCUGUUACCUCACAGCACAGGUUAUUACAUAAAAACAAGUUCUAGAAGUUGUGAUGUUCAGAGACCUCAGUGUCGCUCCUAUUCAGCUUGUUCAAGUUGCAUCAUUAGCUGUACAAAAUCCCAGAUUGGCCUGUAUUUUAAACUGGAACUGGGGGUGGUAUAUAGUUGACAAAACUGCCUGAGAAAUUCGAGCUGUUCACAUCAGCUGCGUUAUCUGCCCAUAAAGGAGGCCAAUCAUAUUGUUAUUGCUAAAAGGAUUAGUAACCUUUUUUGUUUUGUUUUGUUUUGACCACAUUACCUGUAGCACAUCUGGGAAUAUUUUGCAUGAAAACAAUUGAUGCCCAUCCCAAGACCAGGAAUUAAUGUUGAUUUAAGAAAUCGUAUAAUGAAGUAUAGCAAAUACCAGUGUACGCAGUAUAAUCUGAAGAAGUCAACAACUCCUAUGUGCCAUGGGCCCCCAAAACACUUGAGUCAAAGAUCCAUAUUGGUUAUCACCAUUCAACAGCAUGGCUCAGUACCAAUGAUUUUACACGUGGACAUUCCAAACAAAGGACCACCUAAUCAUAGUGGAAACCUUCAAAAAUGGCUCAAAGUCACUCUGCUUUCCAUCCCAAGUCUCUCUGGAAAUCGUUGCACUCAAUUCCUGUGGUUUGUAACCAAGAUUGUCAUCCACUUUUAUUUUCUUCAUUUGAAACUGAAGGACUUCUUAAAUAGUAAGGUUAGUCAUUUUGGCAUUUUCAUGACUCAUCAUUUAGGCUGAAAUGAUAUACAGACCACAAAGGAUUCCUCGAAUCCUAUCAUUUCAGGAGACUGGUAUUAUAAGACAUGUCAUUUCUCACCAUCACAAUGCUACUCCAUAUUCAAAUACCUAGCUUGUUCCCUCACUAACAAUGAACUAUCUCGGGAGUAACUUUCUUUCCAUCCAGAUUUAGCAGAUACUUACAAGACAAACAAGAAGGUAUUUUGCCCACUGAAUUAGUCUGCAUCUGCUCUUUGCUGCCCUUUUCCCCUAUGCAUUAGUUUUCAGGAGAAAUCGCAGAAGUGAAGUGGUUCGUGUUCCAGUUCCUAACAACAGGAUCAAAAAGUCUAUGUCAUAUUGGGUGUCAAGUGUGUUUGUGUUUGCCAGCAACACCUGCGAAAACCUGACUUCCAGGGUGACUUGACAUCAAAAGACUUGUUAGAAACACAUUCUUUAGUGCCUCAGGUAUUGAUUUUUGACAAUGUCUCUUGAAGUUUUAACAGAGCCACAAGUUGAACUAAUCUAUAUUUUUCUGUGGUCCCUGAAGUCACUUGUAUAAGAAUAAUACAAAAAAUAUGGCCUUAUCAAUAACAAAAAGCAUGCCAAUCUUUGUCAGUUGUUAACCAAAGGACAAAAGCUGUUGGGUACGCUUGGGGAUAGCUGAGGGCUAUAGCCUAAUAUUUCCCUAAAUGAUUAUCAUUUACUCUUGAGGUCUUGGGGCAAUAAUUUAGGGCAAAGUUAUAUUCACCAUAUUGUAGCAAACAGAAUUGUGUUAUUCAUUGUUUUCUUAUUAACUGCUCUUUACUUCAAUAGAGCUGUCAGACACAAAAGACGCAAAUGGUAUUGAAGCAAAAGAAGCAAAUAGUGCACAGGGUUGGAAUCAGACAGGCCAGCAUUGGAAUCUCAGCUCCUCCUUUCACUAGCUGUGUGGCCUUCAGCUAGUUAUUUUAACUCCUUAAGCUGCAAUUUCAUCUGUCAAAAGGAAAGGAUAGUAAUCUGUGGUUUAGGAAGUUAUGUAAAGAUUACAUGAAAACAUAUGAAGCACUUAAGUCACCGAUGGGCACAUAGUAAAUGCUCAAUAAGCAAUAGAGAGCGUGGUAAUAGCUAAUUCAUAGUCACUCAUUCAGCAAACUUUGACUGAUGUCGAUUAUACAAGGCACUAUUCUAAAAUCUAGUUUUCUUUUUCUGGAUGAGCAAUGUACCCCUACAGUCCUCCAGGAAGGUGUAAUUUGAUGGGAGACAAAGAAACAUAGUGAAGGAUAAAAUUUUAAGAUAUGUAUGUAUACAAACUUAUGCAAAAACACAGGUGAAGAGCAACUAAUUACACUUAGAUGAGUCAUCACAGACCUCCAUGUAGAGGUAACAUAUAGGCUCGAUGUUGAAGAAUAAGUGGAAGUUUUCCAGGCAGAGGAAGAGGAAAGGAGGUUUUUACAUAGAAGAGAGAACACAAAGACAAAGAUGAGAAAGUACAUAUUUGCUUUAAUAGUAUCAGGUAGUUCCCUAUUUUCAGGGUACCCAGUGCCUCACAGGGAUUAGUAGAAGUAAAGAAGGAUAGAAGGAUGGUGGUUAAACCACUUAGGAUUUUAUAUGCAUUAUAAGUAUUUUGAACGUUGUUCUUUAAGAGAUAAAAAGCUAUUAAAUUUUUUAUUAAGGAAACGACAUGACCAAAGUUAUGUUUUAAAAAGACACAGUGGAUGAUAUCCAACUUGAAAGGAAUGAGUCAGGGAAGGGCAAUCAGAUGAACAAACUAGUCAUUCUGACUUAGGCUAUGGUUCUUGAAAGCUAGGAACGAUGUCAUCUCAAUAAUGCUGAGUAAGUUGACAAUAUAAAUAUAAAGAUUGGAGCUUUAAAACAAAUGGAGCCUACUUAAAACCAUUUUAUUUCAUUGGCAGUAAUUACCCAAGUACUCAUGUUUUUAUUUGUUCUCCUCUUUGUGUCAUUACAGGUCACCUUGAAUCCUUCCUGGAAAAAAGCAGGUCAUAAAUAAUAAUGGUUGUUGGAGAAAGGUCUCUAGGAAAGAUGAAGAACUUUUAAAUUCCUAGAAGCAUCUUAGAAAAGAUAAUACAAAAAAUAUUUAUUUAACGUAAAAAUAAGAGCUGAGAGUCAGUUACAUAGCCAUUGGUAACAGUUGAAAUUUUCUGGAUGGUACCAACCUGCAUUUAUUGUUACUUUCCUUUACUUUUUAAUUUAAUUUAAUUUUAGCGCAAGAAGAUACAUGUUCAUAUUUGUUAGGUGGGUAUAUUGUGUGAUGUUACAUUCCUUUAAAUCUUGUAUAAAUAAUCUUUCUUAAAACUACUUUGUAAAUAUAGGUAAUGUAGACUUAAUGCACAUGUAUAUUUUUAUUUAGAUGGAAUUUACUUUUUAUUGAGAAAUUCAGAACAAAUUUCAGUUCAUUUGUUCAACCACAUCUGUUUUCCAUAUUGGAAAAGCUUAAUUGCCUGGUUUGCAUUCUAUGAGGCCUCAUUUGUGAACCUUAUGGUAUCUACCCAAAUUGGAGGCACUGUGCCUGAGAAAAAACUGCUAGUCCCUUGGGUAAACACCCUGACAAUUCAACACUAUUAAGUGAUGGCAAAUCUGUCAAGAUGCUUUGCCAUUCUGACCGCUUGGCAAGGAAAUGUGGUCUAUGUUUAAAAUAUAAUUUUUGAAGGUGUUGCUUCUAUUGAAUUCUCCCCUGUAUUGCAGUUCACUUUAUUGGAAUGUGAAGCCAAAGUGUUGGCAAGAAUCAAAACUUUGUUACUAAUAACAAAGAGAUUUCCACAAUAUACCAGGUGGUGUUGUCAAAAAUAGUCACACUACAGUUUUAGUGUUCAAAGUCCCACUGAUAAACCUCCUGGAGUAUCGUUUGUUUGGAGUUUAACUGCAGGUGUUUUUGGAACACUAUUCUUAAAUUCCCAAAGUCCGCUAAUUAGAAAGGUAAUCUGUGAAUUUUCAACUGAAUUUUCCAUAGAUCAGUAGAAGUACUUAUACUACAUGAGAUCCAUGGACCUGCCUUAUUAUAAACUGCCAACAGUUGCUCUUUCCAUAUUGAAAUACUGAAAUUGUACAUAUCAAUCCACAAAAAAGGCACAUAUUUAACGGUAAUUUGGAAGGAGAACUUUGCGUCAUUAAGGCAAAAUAUCAUAGGUUUAACCAGAAGUGUCAGGAGUCCUAUUUCAAAAGUUUACCUAUUAAUCUAUAAUCAUAGCAUAAAACACCGCUGCUAUCUUAGGAAUGUCUGAAUGUCUGUAUUCUUUGCUUUUCAUUGCAUGACCUCCAUCAUAGACACCUGACCUGCAGUGUAAGCCUGGUUCAGAGCAUGGACCAUCUAUUGCCUUGUGAACAGUGGUCCUGAUGUUCAAGCAAAGACAAUUUCCAGUACAUAUGUAGGAAGUCAAAAGCAGUUAAAAAUGGAUGGCAAUGCUACAGGCUGCACACUGUCACCACGGUUACCACACACCAGGUGUAUGACCAGAAUCAGUCACAGGAGCAGGAGCAUAUAAAAUGAAAACACCCAAGAACCCCGAGUAACUAUGAUGAAGAGAGGGACAUUGCCAGUUGGCAUGUUGGAGCUGAGAAACGGAUGGUGAUGAAGCCAAAAGGAGAAGGGCCCACUUCACUAUUUGACCUUGGACCAAAAAAACUAAGUAAGGUAAAUUAAAAAAUAAAAAUCACAUCUCCUAUUCAUCUCCUAUUUUCUUUAUCUUCUGAAUUUAGAGGAAAAUGAUUUUUAUGAGGUAGGCAAACAGAUUAUGCUAAACUUUGGUGAUUGCUGGUAAUUUACUUCCCAUCAAUAGUAUUCACUUGGUUGAGUGACUCAAUAUAGAAUAUAUUGAAGAUUUAUUUGCUUCCCUUCAAAGUCAAUCUUUAUUUUCCUAAGCAUCAAAGUGCACAGGAUUUUCAUGGUAUGUGUGUGUCUGUGUGUGCAUGUGCACAUGUGUGUGUUGCCAUUUCAGCUGCUUCAGCAUCCUCAAGUUCCUUACCCUCAUUACAAAGCCUCUGAAUUAGAGCCUCCCCAAAUUCCCUGGGAUCCAGCUUUGUCCUUUACCUCUUCAAAGCUGCAAAAUCUAAUAGAAGUUUCGGGUUUGUCACAUAAACAGAAUGUAGAAACUGGGUUUGUCAAAAGCUUUCUCUCUAGCUCUGGACAAAAUGGUGAAGGGGUAGAAAUGGAGGAAUACCAUUUUUAGGAGGAUAUUUUUACUGACUAGCAAUAUGACCCAUCGAAUGGCUAUUAUUAAUAAUUUCCUAGAUGUAUGAAGUGCCUUUUUAAUAUAAUUUCAGAGUAUUCUGCAUAGUGAAUUAACUCUUCUAUUUCCUGGUGAGAAAGAACUAUAUCAUCUAUUGCUAAGUAGAGAGUGAGAGAGGGACUGAGAGAGAGAGAAAGAGUAAAGCAAAUUGCUCAAGAUGGUAGUUGGUAGUAAUAAAUAUAGAAUUGGGAUUUAGGAAGACUUUACCAUUAAAAGACUUGCUCAAACAAGUCUACAAAACAGAACACAUGUCACACACAUCUUUACCAAAAUA